rnacentral:tRNA from 1 species
ACUUGGGUAGCCUAUAAAAUAGGGUAUAACACUGAAGAUGUUGAGGAGGCUGGUUGCCCCCAAGCA